rnacentral:tRNA from 1 species
GGGUGGCGUAGCUCAGCGGUAAGAGCAGCUGCUCCGGCAGUGGGUCGGCGGUUCGAGUCCGUCCGCCCCCG